rnacentral:rRNA from 1 species
GACGAACGCUGGCGGCGUGCUUAACACAUGCAAGUCGAGCGGUAAGGCCCUUUCGGGGGUACACGAGCGGCGAACGGGUGAGUAACACGUGGGUGACCUGCCCUCAGCUCUGGGAUAAGCCUGGGAAACCGGGUCUAAUACCGGAUAUGACUCCAUGACGCAUGUUGUGGGGUGGAAAGCCUUGUGCGGCUGAGGAUGGGCCCGCGGCCUAUCAGCUUGUUGGUGGGGUGANGGCCUACCAAGGCGACGACGGGUAGCCGGCCUGAGAGGGCGACCGGCCACACUGGGACUGAGACACGGCCCAGACUCCUACGGGAGGCAGCAGUGGGGAAUCUUGCGCAAUGGGCGAAAGCCUGACGCGAGCGACGCCGCGUGAGGGAUGACGGCC